GACGAACGCUGGCGGCGUGCUUAACACAUGCAAGUCGAACGGGAGUAUUGAAGAAGCUUGCUUUAGAGAUACUUUAGUGGCGGACGGGUGAGUAACGCGUGAGGAGCUGUCCUAUGCAGGGGGACAACAGUUGGAAACGACUGCUAAUACCCCAUAAGCCGAGAGGUAAAAGGAGCGAUCCGGCAGAGGAGGUACUCGCGUCCUAUCAGCUAGUAGGUGAGGUAACGGCUCACCUAGGCGAAGACGGGUAGCCGGCCUGAGAGGGCGAACGGGCCAACGACUGGAACUGAGAUACGGUCCAGACUCCUACGGGAGGCAGCAGUGGGGAAUAUUGGGCAAUGGGGGGAACCCUGACCCAGCGACGCCGCGUGGGUGAAGAAAUCCCUCGGGAUGUAAAGCCCUGUUGUAUGGGAAGAGCAGAAGACGGUACCAUACGAGGAAGCCCCGGCAAACUACGUG
rnacentral:rRNA from 1 species